rnacentral:rRNA from 1 species
UACAGAGGUCUCAAGCGUUGUUCGGAUUCAUUGGGCGUAAAGGGUGCGUAGGCGGCGGGGCAAGUCUGAUGUGAAAUCCCGGGGCUCAACCCCGAAACUGCAUUCGAUACUGCCGUGCUUGAGGACUGGAGAGGAGACUGGAAUUUACGGUGUAGCGGUGAAAUGCGUAGAUAUCGUAAGGAAGACCAGUGGCGAAGGCGGGUCUCUGGACAGUUCCUGACGCUGAGGCACGAAGGUCAGGGGAGCAAACGGG